rnacentral:rRNA from 1 species
AUUGAACGCUGGCGGCAUGCUUUACACAUGCAAGUCGAGCGGCAGCGCGGGGGCAACCCUGGCGGCGAGCGGCGAACGGGUGAGUAAUGCAUCGGAACGUAUCCUCGAGUGGGGGAUAACCCAGCGAAAGUUGGGCUAAUACCGCAUGAGCUCUGAGGAGGAAAGCGGGGGACCUGCGAGGGCCUCGCGCUGGAGGCGCGGCCGAUGUCCGAUUAGCUAGUUGGUGGGGUAAAGGCUUACCAAGGCGACGAUCGGUAGCUGGUCUGAGAGGAUGAUCAGCCACACUGGGACUGAGACACGGCCCAGACUCCUACGGGAGGCAGCAGUGGGGAAUUUUGGACAAUGGAGGCAACCCUGAUCCAGCCAUGCCGCGUGAGUGAAGAAGGCCUUCGGGUUGUAAAGCUCUUUCGGACGGAACGAAAUGGGCGGGACUAAUACUCCUGUCUGAUGACGGUACCGUAAGAAGAAGCACCGGCUAACUACGUG